rnacentral:rRNA from 1 species
CCUACGGGGGGCUGCAGUGGGGAAUAUUGGACAAUGGGGGCAACCCUGAUCCAGCCAUGCCGCGUGUGUGAAGAAGGCCCUCGGGUUGUAAAGCACUUUUAGUGAGGAAGAACGCCUGGUGGUUAAUACCCAUCAGGAAAGACAUCACUCACAGAAGAAGCACCGGCUAACUCCGUGUCAGCAGCCGCGGUAAUACGGAGGGUGCGAGCGUUAAUCGGAAUUACUGGGCGUAAAGCGCGCGUAGGUGGCUUGAUAAGCCGGUUGUGAAAGCCCCGGGCUCAACCUGGGAACGGCAUCCGGAACUGUCAAGCUAGAGUGCAGGAGAGGAAGGUAGAAUUCCCGGUGUAGCGGUGAAAUGCGUAGAGAUCGGGAGGAAUACCAGUGGCGAAGGCGGCCUUCUGGACUGACACUGACACUGAGGUGCGAAAGCGUGGGUAGCAAACAGGAUUAGAUACCCGAGUAGUC